AGACGAAGGAUGCAAGCGUUAUCCGGAUUCAUUGGGUUUAAAGGGAGCGUAGGCGGUCUUAUAAGUCAGUGGUGAAAUCUCCUCGCUUAACGAGGAAACUGCCAUUGAUACUGUAGGACUUGAGUAUAGUUGCUGUGGGCGGAAUAUGACAUGUAGUGGUGAAAUACUUAGAGAUGUCAUAGAACACCGAUUGCGAAGGCAGCUCACAAAACUAUAACUGACGCUGAGGCUCGAAAGUGCGGGGAUC
rnacentral:rRNA from 1 species